rnacentral:lncRNA from 1 species
GAGGCGAGGGAUGUGGACGAAGGGGAAAGUGGAGUGGGUGGAGAGGGGAUGGAGAGGGGAAAGAGGGGAGGGAGGUUAGGGAUGUGGUAAUAGCGCUGGGAACUGCUUAUGGUAUGGGGGUGAGGGGAAGUAAAGAGAGGGGAAAUGUGAGAGCUUGAGAGAGGAAGGGGAGGGGAGAGGGGAGUGGGGAGGUGUGUAGUGGAGUUGGAUUAGUAAAAGGAUAGGAUGGAUAUUAGAUAGAGUGGAGAACAGUAUUACCUUACCACCUCACUACACACACACACACACACACACACACACACACACACACACACACACACACACACACACACACGCAACACUCAACACCUCAUCAUAAGUUUAUUAAUCCUACUAAGCUACUCAUUCACACACACACACACACACACACACACACACACACACACACACACACACACACACACACACACACACACACGUACAAACACCUUCCCCUGCACCUCCCUACGCACCCUGUACAGCGGCCCCAUGACGUCAGCAGGGCAGCAUGUGAGGCCCUGCAGAUGCCCCUUCACACCCUGCUGCCGCCUCUCCCUGCUAAGGAUCAUUAAUUAUACUUCCACCCAACAUGCCUUCAACCUUCCUUUUUUUUUUUUUUCCUUUUACUUUUUUCACGGUUUUUUCUUUCACGUCAAGACCUGAAAAGUUGACUCGUGAUGUUUUUUUUAGUAGUAUUACCUCGAGUCAAGAUUGGAGAGGGUAUGUUAUUUUCUUCAUUUAUUUUUUCAUCUAUUUUUAUUUUAGUUUAUUUUUGUUGUAAGAUUAUUUAAGAAGUUUAUAAUGAAGGAAGGUGCUACGUGAUUUUAAUAUGAAGGUGUGGGUUUACGGUCCACACACACACACACACACACACACACACACACACACACACACACACACACACGUUAACCAAACACCCUGACGCAAUAUUUGGACACCAGAGGGCGAGGUCAGUGGAUCUCAGGGUAAAGGAAAUGACGAAAUGAAAGGAGCUAAAAAAAAAAAAAAAAUAAGUAAAACGAGGAGGAGGAGGAGGAGGAGGAGGAGGAGGAGGAGGAGGAGGAGGAGGAGGAGGAGGAGGAGGAGGAGGAGGAGGAGGAGGAAAAGGAGGAGGAGGAAAUGAAAUCAGAUCAAGACCGGAAAGCAAGCAAACCAAAUACACACACACACACACACACACACACACACACACACACACACACAGACUAAAAUAUCAUUAAUUGAGAACUAUAUUAGCAAUCAGGAGCAGCAGCAGUAGUAGUGGUGGCAAUGGUGAUAGUGAUGGAGUGGUGAAAGCAGCGUGCUGGUGGUGAGCAGUGAAAGCAGGGGUGGUGUACCACCAUCACCACCACCACCACCACCACCAUCACCAUUACCACCUUGCCCUACGCCAGGUGAGCCCCAGGUACUACCGGGUGGGUCGUACAAGGCUUCUCACGACCCUCAUCUACCUGCACUUACUUUCUCCACCUGAGUGAUGUAGCAGGAAGGUGUGCAGCGCCCCGAGGGAAGACAGAUGGUCGCCCUUGAUAGAAGAGUGAGACGGGUGGGAUGGGCGCGUCUAGGUGGUGACUUGUGUGGUGACGGGGUGGUGACGGGGCCAAGAUUCAUAGUCCCGCCCGUCACCACCCACCACCACACCGCCCUCCUCUUAUAAGGCGGCGCCCACCCACUCCCCACACCCCCACCUCCAUCCCCCCACGCAACACACGCCCGCGCCGCCCACGUGACCAUUUGGACUCAAAACUUUACUAUGGGAUUUAUAUUCACUUUUAUAACUCAACUUUCACCUUCUUAUACAUUUUUUUCACUUUAUCCUUACGUGUGUGUGUGUGUGUGUGUGUGUGUGUGUGUGUGUGUGUGUGUGUGUGUGUGUGUGUGUGUGUGUGAUUAUAGAUGUAAGUAUAUGAGUCAGGAACCCACCAGGCGCCCCCACCUCGCUGCCCCGCCUCGCCUACUCCUGCCACGCCCUUGAGAUCCUUAUAUGUGUGAAUGGAGACCGUGGUGGUGGUGGUAGUGGUGGUGGUGGUGGUGGUGGUGGUGGUGGUGGUGGUGGUGGUGGUGGUGGUGGCGGUAGU